AUGUACAUACAAGUACACUCCGGUUCCUGCGCGCCGCCCACGCCCACCUGCCGGCCGCUCGCUACGUUUUGUUAGCG
rnacentral:sRNA from 1 species